rnacentral:lncRNA from 1 species
AAGUGCACAUCAAGAAGCAGUCCACACCAAAGGCCAUCCAGCCCGGCCAGUCAGCAGGAGGUCAGCAGCAGGGGCCUCACGUGAGCUUCAGAAGACAAAUCUGAAAAUAUGGCCCAGUGCCAAAG